rnacentral:misc_RNA from 1 species
AUAAAUAAUAUAAUGAAUUAUAUUAAUAAUUAUAUAUUUUAAUAUAGUAACGGCUAAACCUAAAUUUUGUUAAGAGCCGUUUCAUCUUACAAUCAUCACACCCUUCUUUUAGAGCUAGAAAAAAGAUCAGGCACAAUUAUCAUAGUCCCACCCGUCUGCUCGUCGUUUAAACACCAUACGUAACCAAGAAGGAGACUGGCUUCCAAUGCCAGAAACUAUACAGCUAACUUUUCCACUUAGUGUUUCACCGCAUGUUUUCUCUGCAACGCACAUAUCGGGUUCUGUCAUUGUAUCUAGGUCUGUCAUUAGCUCUUUGUGGCUGUGGCUCCACCCUUCUGUGUCUUUCGGGUGGUCUUUGAUCCAUCUCUCCAUUCACAAACAACUCAGCUGCAACAUAAGAAAUAUGUGCAUAAUUAGUCACCAUCAUGAAACCUCUCUAAAUUUUAUAAUAGCUGAAAUGCAGAUAUCACUGUUGAUAAACAACUGUCAGAAUGCAACAAUGUGCAAGUUACCAUUAUUUGCAACUACUAAUGAACACUUUAACUAAGACAUCUAACGGUUGAAGUGUGCUACCCAUAUAAUUUCAUUACCACCAACAUGAUUUCACGCACAUUAUAAAAUACAUCCACCAGGUGAAAUUUUCAAUUAAAAUUAAAGCAUUUACUGUUUAUCAACUUUUCAUUUUCCUUCUAUUACUAAAAUGGAAUCAAAGGCAUUCUUCCUUUUUUUUUUUUUUGGGUUUAGGGUGUUUGUGGGGGGGGAGGGGGGGAGAGAUGGGGAGGGAUGGCUAAUACUUUUUCCAUCUUAAAACUCACAUUAAUAAAACACAGUAUUUCAACACAAGCCUACUAUAAGUUGCUUACACAGUGUAGGAAUAUAAACAGCCUUACAACACAAGAAUGAACUUCACAAAAUAAUUAAAAUUUAUGUAUCAUCUACAAUGAUUCUGCAGCUUCAUUUAGUACAAGGACAGAAGAGGUAAUAAGAUAAGUUUCUGUGAGCCCAUUAGCAUUCAAAGCAAGACAUUACCCACUUGAUAUUAUUAGCUUUGCCAAGAUGGAAUAUAUUUGUUAAAAAAAAAUUCUCUCAUGCUAAAUGCAUCAGCCACAAAGUCCAAAAUACUAAAACAGUUAGUUUUACAUCUCAACCAAAUACAAAACACAAAGUACAAGGAUAAAAGGGGUAAUGUCAAUAAUUUGAUGCCAACCUAUUAACAAUUAAAGGAUGAUAUUGCCCUUCAAGGCCAUCAUCUAUGCCAGAUAAAUUGCAAAUGGAGGCAAAAAAACUUCCCAAAACACAAAUAAAAAAUGAAGUAGGAAAAGAACCACAGAAAGAGGGGUGUCACCACAGAAAGAGGGGUGUCCAUGGCCGUAAUUGGAUCCCCACCAAAACAUGACAUCAUGGGCAGCUCCCAUCAAUGCAUCACAAACAUUACAAAAAGAGGAAUACCACACCCGUUCACCAUGGAUCAAGUUAUAUAGGAAGGCAAUUAGAAAAGUAUAUAGCUUAUUCAACACAGCUAAUUCUGCUCCGGACAAGGAAAUAAUUGCUUCAUUCAUCGCCAUAAUCCUUAUAUUCAGGGUAGCACAAACAGAACACCAGGCACGUCUUCAAGCUUGUCUGCGGUCUCCUCAUCAAUCUCGCAGCCAAAUCCAAAAUACCUCCCACAUGAAACAUUAUAAAUCUUCUUUUUAGCUUCCUCCUCACUGCCAAGAACUUUGGCUAGGGUUUGAAUAUAACAAUCAAUUAUUUGCUGCUUGGUGGCCCCUUCUCCACCAGGCUUGUCCAUAACAAUAAGCCAGUGCUAGUAAUCACACCCCGGAAAAGGCGGGGCCAUCUCAUUGGGCGGGCGGUCACUGAAGUUGGAGGUGGAGUUCAAAGGCGCCGAGUUGCCAGAACGGUUUACCCGGCAUCGAAUCGACGUACAUUGGGCGAGACCAGCAGGUUUGAUUAACAGGACAGCAUGAGAGAGUUGAAGUAAUGAUCGGCGGCAGACAAGCAAAGUUGAAGGAGAAGGAGGAUGAGUGAUGGUAGUUGUGGAGGAGAGAAGGCGUUUGGGGAGAAGGAAGAAGGAAGUGAGGCGGCGAGCGGUUGUACAAGUGAAAGACCGAGCUAGGGCUUGAGCCAUUUCGUG